UUACACAACUUUUCAAAAUAAUUCUGCAUCUACUAUAUACUUCUUUUACAACAUGUCUUAUAACAACUAAUCAUUCAUUCAAAGUUAAGAAAUAAUGAAUCAAAACCUUUUUUUUCCCAGACAGGAAAAACAGACCAAAAAUUCACAGUGGGGAGAAGUGAGGAGCAAAUGGGCUGGUGUGACCAAGAAAGAUUUAAUAAGAAGCUGAGCCUUAAACGAUCAAUAAGCACUGGAUAGAUAAGAGGAAUAAUCAUUUAUUAGCCAAGCGGGACUGGUGCCUUUUUGAGAACUGUCAUUCUGGAAAGAUAUUGAUUGAAGGAGGCCUCUGAGCACAUUCUCUCCAGCAGGCAGCCGUAAGGGAGGCGGCUGCAGUGCAGACAAGAUGAUGAGUUGGCAGUGAGCAUCUCGACAGGAGCCUAAUGAAGAAAUCUGGUAGCUUUGUGCAGCUACUCCAAGAGAAGCCCGAACUCCCUGGGGAGCCUCUGCCCAGGUGGAAGAGACCUCGAGUGGCCAUUAUUAGGGGUGAUUGCUAGGAAGCUGGUUGCCAUGGCACCGCAGAGGCCAGUGCUGAACUCCCAAGCUGUCCCCGUUUCCCAGGCUGUCUACAUAAUCACUGCAAUGAGAGGCACAGGCACAGAAAGGGAGAGAGGAGCAGCUCCCCAGACAGUGAUCUCCCUGCAGAGCAAGG